CUCUCCUCAGUUUCGUUGAAAAUGAAUCUGCCCGAGGAACUACACUGGGAACAACUCCUUGGGAUGUACCACUUGUACAGAGCUAAGCUUUUUGGAGUCACUGAACCUCUACAAGAAGAUGUUCAGACCCUGACAGGAGAAUUGGGUCACUACAUGGAACUGUAGUACAAGGUGAAACCACAACCUAUUGUCCUGCCAGUUUUGCUGUGUGGACUCAUAGAGCACAGAAUUGCUCUGCAGAAUUUGUUGCUUGCGGCCAUGAUCUGUGGUUGAUGCUGUUGAUGCUGUCGACUGAAGGCAAGAUACACUGUAACAGUGUCCAUGCUGUGAGCCUCCUGUGGCUGGGAGAGAUGCUUUUGUGCUCAGAGGUCAUCAGAGUCCUCCAAAUACCACUGAAGGCCUGGUGAAAAUGACUUGCUGGUGAAGAUGCUCGCUGCUGUCUGUGUUGUGGAUGCUAGCAGAGGAAGAUCUGCACCAUGGAGGAAAUAUUUAAGCUCACUGAUGAUGAAGAUGAGGCAGUAGUUGAAAGAAAUAUCUUGUCAGAAUGCACCUCGGAGACAGUCACUGCUCUGCCUCUCUACUUGAUUUGCAGCUAGCUGUAACACACAGGGCAGGCUCAGACAAGGACUGACUAUGGCUUGCAAGGGCCAAUAUCAGAGGCUAUCAUCUUGUUGCACAAUGGGAUAACAGUAUCACCCCUGUAGAGCUGCUGCAGGUUUCACUGUAGCCAGGUCUUCAUGCUCUGUUAGCAAGAGGAAUAAGCACGCUCUCCAUCAGAAUCUGUCCAGUGUGACCAGUCCCUUCUGUACAAACCUGGCCUUGCUGAAGGAUUCAAAUGUCACACUAGAUCCUGCUCUGCGAUGAACUACAGUAAAUGAGAUCUGCCAAUCUAGAUAACCUCUAAAACCACAUUGCCCUCUGUUUUAACCCACUUAGUAACAGAUCCUUCUACUAAUACUGUACUUAGCAGUAUCACAUUUUAUAUUUGACUCCUUAAAUGGACUAAAUGCAGCUGUCUUAAACAUUUCAAUGUGAAAUAAUAUGUCUCUUGCCUGUACAUCAACGCUCUUUCCAUUACUUCCAUUAAAAGUCUGAUUAUUCAGUUC